CUGCGAAAGCCGGAUUAAUACCGCAUACGAUCUACGGAUGAAAGCGGGGGACCUUCGGGCCUCGCGCUAUAGGGUUGGCCGAUGGCUGAUUAGCUAGUUGGUGGGGUAAAGGCCUACCAAGGCGACGAUCAGUAGCUGGUCUGAGAGGACGACCAGCCACACUGGGACUGAGACACGGCCCAGACUCCUACGGGAGGCAGCAGUGGGGAAUUUUGGACAAUGGGCGAAAGCCUGAUCCAGCAAUGCCGCGUGUGUGAAGAAGGCCUUCGGGUUGUAAAGCACUUUUGUCCGGAAAGAAAUCCUUGGUUCUAAUAUAGCCGGGGGAUGACGGUACCGGAAGAAUAAGCACCGGCUAACUACGUGCCAGCAGCCGCGGUAAUACGUAGGGUGCGAGCGUUAAUCGGAAUUACUGGGCGUAAAGCGUGCGCAGGCGGUUUGCUAAGACCGAUGUGAAAUCCCCGGGCUCAACCUGGGAACUGCAUUGGUGACUGGCGAGCUAGAGUAUGGCA
rnacentral:rRNA from 1 species